CUCCACCAAGGUCAGGAGUGAAAAGCACAGGAGAGAACUGAUGAAGUCAGCUGCACAGACUGCCUGAGUCCAGGGGUCCCUUACUUCAUCCCAGACUAAAGGAGGAGAAUGUAGCAAAUGAAGGCAGCUCUGCUGUAGAAGCACUGUAUUUUCCAGGACGUAUGUCAAAUGUUGGAUAGCAGGCUUUAUAAGAAGACAUACAGUGGUGAGCUAGGGCUGGCCAGAUCACUCAUCUAAAGCAAACAUUUCUGUGAGGCACUGCCAGGAGAACCAGGCCUCCUUCCCUCUCUGCUCUCUCCACAACUGGAAGCAACAAACAACCACAAUAAAAACGGGAGCUGUGUGCCAGACUUUUUCCUCCCAUGUCUGCAGCCAAAUUGGCUGCAAUGCUACUCGACUUAGGCGCAUUAUGAAUGGGCUGUCCUUCCAGAUGCAAGGAUCCUGGCACCAGGCUGCAAGUGUACUGCACGAAUCCAAGAGAAGAAACUGAACUAGAAUGUGUGAGCCAGGAAAAGCAGAACUGUAAUCCUGCUGAAACUAGAAGUGGUUUUUACAUGUUAUAGAACUACAAAGAACCUCAGGAGAUAGGUGUCUCUGCUCAGCUGAGGGAGCAUGGAGAAGGUUCCCAGUCAUCAUUUCCAGGAAACUGCUGAGUGCAUCUGGGACUUGGGAGAGAUUCAGGCCUUUUGUUCUCUAAGCAUAUGACUUCUCCUUUCAUUAUCAUGUGGUGUCUGGGGAACCAACAUCUUGCGACUGAGAUUCUCAGAGUCCGUCUCCAGCAGGGCAGAGGCCUCAUUGCCAGCGUUUGAAGAACCCACCCCACCACAAGGCUAUCUCGGGGGAUUAGAGUGGGCUUCCUCUCGGCCAACUCAACUUCCUGUUUUCUCAGGAAAAAUAAAGAGCUGUUGCUGAUAUAUGUACAAUCUGCUAAAGAGUCCUGGAAAUUCAGAGACUGUAUUGUCACAGAUAAUUCUGCUACUGGAGACCGAUGAAGGUGACUACAGGUAGGGAAUCUGGUUUUAGGUCCUGGAGAUAAUCCCCACUGGACCUAGGAAUUGGAGCCAAAAUGAUCUUGGAGCCAGUCUGUCAGAGAAGGUAGAGGGGCCGGGGUACCUGACACUCAAGCCCGAGGCUGGGCAUCUGGACUGGGAACUGGGACUGUGCUCUGUAGGAACUGAGCUAAACUACGGACCUAAACACCUUUCCCU